GUCUACAGCCACGCCACCGUGAAUAAGCCCGAUCCUGUCUGAUCUUAAAGGCUAAGCAGGGUCGGGCCUGGUUAGUACUUGGAUGGGAGACCACCUAGGAAGACCGGGUGCUCUAGGCG
rfam:Pteropus alecto contig91934, whole genome shotgun sequence.